UACAGAGGUCUCAAGCGUUGUUCGGAUUCAUUGGGCUUAAAGGGUGCGUAGGCGGCGCGGUAAGUAGGGUGUGAAAUCCCUCGGCUCAACCGAGGAACUGCGCUCUAAACUACCGUGCUCGAGGGAGAUAGAGGUGAGCGGAACUUAGGGUGGAGCGGUGAAAUGCGUUGAUAUCCUAAGGAACACCGGUGGCGAAAGCGGCUCACUGGAUCUCUUCUGACGCUGAGGCACGAAAGCUAGGGUAGCGAACGGG
rnacentral:rRNA from 1 species